rnacentral:rRNA from 1 species
ACCUGGGGCUACAAACGUACUACAAUGGCCGGUACAAAGAGAUGCGAAGUGGCGACAUGGAGCGAACCUCAGAAAGCCGGUCUCAGUUCGGAUUGCAGGCUGCAAUUCGCCUGCAUGAAGUCGGAAUCGCUAGUAAUCGCAGGUCAGCAUACUGCGGUGAAUACGUUCCCGGGCCUU